rnacentral:lncRNA from 1 species
CUCACCUGGUACGCCAAGGGCCGGGCGCCAUGCGCGGGCCCGAGCCGCGAGGAGGAACUGGCAGCCGUGCGGGAGGCGGAGCGCGAGGCGCUGCUGGCCGCCCUUGGCUACAAGAACGUGAAGAAGCAGCCCACGGGCCUGAGCAAGGAGGACUUCGCGGAGGUCUGCAAGCGGGAAGGAGGCGACCCCGAGGAGAAGGGCGUGGACCGGCUGCUGGGGCUGGGGAGCGCAAGGUGCGGGCGGGUUUCCAGGGGAGGGCAGCACUGGGCUCGAUUGCUCGGGUGAGGCGGACCCCUGCCGUACUGUCUUCAUCGCCAUGUCCCUGCAGUGGCUCCGUGGGCCGCGUGGCGAUGUCCCGAGAGGACAAGGAGGCCGCCAAACUGGGGCUGUCUGUGUUCACGCAUCACCGCGUAGAGAGCGGCGGGCCCGGGACCUCGGCAGCCUCGGCCAGGAGGAAGCCGCGGGCGGAGGAUCAGACGGAAAGCAGUUGUGAGAGCCACAGGAAAAGCAAGAAGGAGAAGAAGAAAAAGAAAAAGAGGAAACACAAG